GAUGAACGCUGGCGGCGUGCCUAACACAUGCAAGUCGAACGGAAAGACGAGGCUCUUGCUGGUUUCACGUUUGCGGCGGGCGUGUGAGUCACACGUGGAUCCCCUCCUUAUCUGUCUGGUAUAACUUCGGGAAUCCGGAUCUAAUACCGGAUAAUAUAUUGAACCGUGUUGUUCAUUGGAGAAUGUCGGCUUUUCUGUCUCUUAUCGAUGCUUCCCCGCCGUAUUAGAUAGUUGUUACGUUAACGGCUUUCCAAGGCGACGCUGCGUAGGCGAGGUGAGAGGAGGAUCGGCAACACUGGAACUGGGACACGGACAAGACUCCUAAGGGAGGCAGCAGUAGGGAAUGUGAGGCAAUGGGCGAAAGCAUGACGGAGCAAGGCCGCGUGAGUGAUGAAGGUCUUCGGAUCGUAAAGCUCUGUUAUGGGGGAAGAACAGAUGUGGAAGUAAAUAAGCACGUAGUGACGGUACCGAAUCAAAAAGCACCGGCUAACUACGUG
rnacentral:rRNA from 1 species